rnacentral:rRNA from 1 species
UACGGAGGGUGCAAGCGUUAUCCGGAUUCACUGGGUUUAAAGGGUGCGUAGGUGGGUUGGUAAGUCAGUGGUGAAAUCUCCUGGCUUAACUUGGAAACUGCCAUUGAUACUAUCAAUCUUGAAUAUGGUGGAGGUAAGCGGAAUAUGUCAUGUAGCGGUGAAAUGCUUAGAGAUGACAUAGAACACCUAUUGCGAAGGCAGCUUACUACGCCUAUAUUGACGCUGAGGCACGAAAGCGUGGGGAUCAAACAGG